rnacentral:rRNA from 1 species
AGUGAACGCUGGCGGCAGGCCUAACACAUGCAAGUCGAGCGGCAGCGGGCUGUAGCAAUACAGUGCCGGCGAGCGGCGGACGGGUGAGGAAUACAUCGGAAUCUACCUUGUCGUGGGGGAUAACGUAGGGAAACUUACGCUAAUACCGCAUACGAACUACGGUUGAAAGCGGAGGACCGCAAGGCUUCGCGCGAUUGGAUGAGCCGAUGUCGGAUUAGCUAGUUGGCGGGGUAAUGGCCCACCAAGGCGACGAUCCGUAGCUGGUCUGAGAGGAUGAUCAGCCACACUGGAACUGAGACACGGUCCAGACUCCUACGGGAGGCAGCAGUGGGGAAUAUUGGACAAUGGGCGCAAGCCUGAUCCAGCCAUGCCGCGUGUGUGAAGAAGGCCUUAGGGUUGUAAAGCUCUUUCAGAUGGGAAGAUAAUGACGGUACCAUCAGAAGAAGCCCCGGCUAACUCCGUGCCAGCAGCCGCGGUAA